UGAGUACGAGCGGCUACGGCCGCGAAGUGGAUGACGUCAAGCUUCCAAGAAAAGCCCUAUACCCGUUAAGGCAUGAUGGCCUGUACCCGAAACCGACACAGGUGGGGUGGUAGAGAAUACCGAGGGGCGCGAGGUAACUCUCUCUAAGGAACUCGGCAAAAUGGCCCCGUAACUUCGGGAGAAGGGGUGCCACCGCGAGGUGGUCGCAGUGAAGAGGCCCAGGCGACUGUUUACCAAAAACACAGGUCUCCGCUAAGUCGCAAGACGAUGUAUGGGGGCUGACGCCUGCCCAGUGCCGGAAGGUUAAGGAAGCUGGUCAGCGCAAGCGAAGCUGGCGACUGAAGCCCCGGUGAACGGCGGCCGUAACUAUAACGGUCCUAAGGUAGCGAAAUUCCUUGUCGGGUAAGUUCCGACCCGCACGAAAGGCGUAACGAUCUGGGCGCUGUCUCGGAGAGAGGCUCGGCGAAAUAGAAUUGUCUGUGAAGAUGCGGACUACGUGCACCCGGACAGAAAGACCCUAUGAAGCUUUACUGUAGCUUGGUAUUGUGCUCGGGCUCGGAAUGCGCAGGAUAGGUGGGAGGCUUUGAUCCAUUGCUUGCGGGUGAUGGUGAGCCACUGGUGAGAUACCACUCUUUCCGAGCUAGAGUUCUAACAGCAACCCGUUAUCCGGGUGCUGGACAUUAUCAGGCGGGCAGUUUGACUGGGGCGGUCGCCUCCUAAAAGGUAACGGAGGCGCGCAAAGGUCUGCUCAGGCUGGUUGGAAAUCAGCCGACGAGUGUAAAAGCAGAAGCAGGCUUGACUGUGAGACCUACAAGUCGAACAGGGAGGAAACUCGGCUUUAGUGAUCCGACGGUUCUGCGUGGAAGGGCCGUCGCUCAACGGAUAAAAGUUACUCUAAGGAUAACAGGCUGAUCUCCCCCAAGAGUUCACAUCGACGGGGAGGUUUGGCACCUCGAUGUCGGCUCAUCGCAACCUGGGGCUGAAGUCGGUCCCAAGGGUUGGGCUGUUCGCCCAUUAAAGCGGUACGCGAGCUGGGUUCAGAACGUCGUGAGACAGUUCGGCCCAUAUCCGGUGCACGCGCAGGAAUAUUGAGAGGAUUUCUCCCUAGUACGAGAGGACCGGGAGGAACGCACCUCUGGUGUGCCAGUUAUCGUGCCAACGGUAAACGCUGGGUAGCCAUGUGCGGAGUGGAUAACCGCUGAAAGCAUCUAAGUGGGAAGCCCACCUCAAGAUGAGUAUUCCCAUGGCAUAAGCCAGUAAGGUCACGGGAAGAACACCCGUUGAUAGGCUCUACGUGGAAGCGCAGUAAUGUGUGAAGCGGAGGAGUACUAAUAGACCGAGGGC
rnacentral:rRNA from 1 species